CAGAGGUGGCUAGCGUUGUUCGGAUUCAUUGGGUGUAAAGGGUGCGUAGGCGGUUCAGAAAGUCAGAUGUGAAAUCCCACAGCUCAACUGUGGAACUGCAUCUGAAACUUCUGGACUUGAGUGCGAGAGAGGUAAAGGGAAUUCCCGGUGUAAGGGUGAAAUCUGCAGAGAUCGGGAGGAACACCUGUAGCGAAGGCGCUUUACUGGCUCGUAACUGACGCUGAGUGCACGAAGGCGUGGGGAGCAAACGGGAUUAGAUACCCCGGUAGUCCACGCAGUAAACGAUGUUCACUAGGUGUCGGUCUCGUUAAAUCGGGGUCGGUGCCGCAGCUAACGCAUUAAGUGAACCACCUGGGGAGUACAGUCGCAAGGCUG
rnacentral:rRNA from 1 species